rnacentral:rRNA from 1 species
CCUACGGGUGGCAGCAGUGGGGAAUAUUGCGCAAUGGGCGAAAGCCUGACGCAGCGACGCCGCGUGAGGGAUGAAGGUCUUCGGAUCGUAAACCUCUGUCAGCAGGGAAGAACGGUCACUGUGCUAAUCAGCAGUGAAUUGACGGUACCUGAAGAAGAAGCCCCGGCUAACUACGUGCCAGCAGCCGCGGUAAUACGUAGGGGGCAAGCGUUAUCCGGAUUUACUGGGUGUAAAGGGGGCGCAGACGGCGAUGCAAGCCAGGAGUGAAAGCCCGGGGCCCAACCCCGGGACUGCUCUUGGAACUGCGUGGCUGGAGUUCAGGAGGGGCAGGCGGAAUUCCUGGUGUAGCGGUGAAAUGCGUAGAUAUCAGGAGGAACACCGGUGGCGAAGGCGGCCUGCUGGACUGCAACUGACGUUGAGGCCCGAAAGCGUGGGGAGCAAACAGGAUUAGAUACCCGAGUAGUC